rnacentral:rRNA from 1 species
ACGAGUGCCCCAAGCGUUAUCCGGAAUUAUUGGGCGUAAAGGGUGUGUAGGCGGUUUUGUUAGUCUAGUGUCAAAUUCUUCGGCUUAACCGGGGUACCGCACUGGAAACGGCAUAACUAGAGGAUGCGAGGGGUGAGUGGAACUCAUGGAGUAGGGGUGAAAUCCGUUGAUAUCAUGGGGAACACCGAAAGCGAAGGCAGCUCACUGG